rnacentral:rRNA from 1 species
GAUGAACGCUGGCGGCGUGCCUAAUACAUGCAAGUCGAGCGAACGGACGAGAAGCUUGCUUCUCUGAUGUUAGCGGCGGACGGGUGAGUAACACGUGGAUAACCUACCUAUAAGACUGGGAUAACUUCGGGAAACCGGAGCUAAUACCGGAUAAUAUUUUGAACCGCAUGGUUCAAAAGUGGAAGACGGUCUUGCUGUCACUUAUAGAUGGAUCCGCGCUGCAUUAGCUAGUUGGUAAGGUAACGGCUUACCAAGGCAACGAUGCAUAGCCGACCUGAGAGGGUGAUCGGCCACACUGGAACUGAGACACGGUCCAGACUCCUACGGGAGGCAGCAGUAGGGAAUCUUCCGCAAUGGGCGAAAGCCUGACGGAGCAACGCCGCGUGAGUGAUGAAGGUCUUCGGAUCGUAAAACUCUGUUAUUAGGGAAGAACAUAUGUGUAAGUAACUGUGCACGUCUUGACGGUACCUAAUCAGAAAGCCACGGCUAACUACGUGCCAGCAGCCGCGGUAAUACGUAGGUGGCAAGCGUUAUCCGGAAUUAUUGGGCGUAAAGCGCGCGUAGGCGGUUUUUUAAGUCUGAUGUGAAAACCCACGGCUCAACCGUGGAGGGUCAUUGGAAACUGGAAAACUUGAGUGCAGAAGAGGAAAGUGGAACUCCAUGCGUAGCGGUGAAAUGCGCAGAGAUAUGGAGGAACACCAGUGGCGAAGGCGACUUUCUGGUCUGUAACUGACGCUGAUGUGCGAAAGCGUGGGGAUCAAACAGGAUUAGAUACCCUGGUAGUCCACGCCGUAAACGAUGAGUGCUAAGUGUUAGGGGGUUUCCGCCUCUUAGUGCUGCAGCUAACGCAUUAAGCACUCCGCCUGGGGAGUACGACCGCAAGGUUGAAACUCAAAGGAAUUGACGGGGACCCGCACAAGCGGUGGAGCAUGUGGUUUAAUUCGAAGCAACGCGAAGAACCUUACCAAAUCUUGACAUCCUUUGACAACUCUAGAGAUAGAGCCUUCCCCUUCGGGGGACAAAGUGACAGGUGGUGCAUGGUUGUCGUCAGCUCGUGUCGUGAGAUGUUGGGUUAAGUCCCGCAACGAGCGCAACCCUUAAGCUUAGUUGCCAUCAUUAAGUUGGGCACUCUAAGUUGACUGCCGGUGACAAACCGGAGGAAGGUGGGGAUGACGUCAAAUCAUCAUGCCCCUUAUGAUUUGGGCUACACACGUGCUACAAUGGACAAUACAAAGGGCAGCGAAACCGCGAGGUCAAGCAAAUCCCAUAAAGUUGUUCUCAGUUCGGAUUGUAGUCUGCAACUCGACUACAUGAAGCUGGAAUCGCUAGUAAUCGUAGAUCAGCAUGCUACGGUGAAUACAUUCCCGGGUCU